CAUAAUAAUUAGUUUUUUAAUUGAAAGCUUGGAUGAAUGGUUGGACAAAGAAAUACCUGUCUUUAAAACUAUUAUAGAAUUUAACUUUUAAGUGAAAAGGCUUAGAUUUUUUAGAGGGACGAUAAGACCCUAUAAAAGUUUAUAUAGUGAUUAUUGAAUUUAAAUUAUUUAUAUUAAUUAUAUUAUUAAUUAUAUUUUAUUGGGGCGAUAAAUAAAUAAUUUUAUUAACUGUUUAUGUUUAAUACAAUUAUAAAUGAAAUAUUAAUAAUCCUAAAUAAAGAUUAAAAGAUUAAGUUACUUUAGGGAUAACAGCGUAAUUCUUUUUGAAAGUUCUUAUUAAAAAAAGAGUUUGCGACCUCGAUGUUGAAUUAAAAUAGCCAUUAGGCGCACAAGU
rnacentral:rRNA from 1 species